CAGUCUGGGGUUCAGAGGGGACGUGUGGACACUGGCUCAACUAAAAGCCCGGAGCUUCACAUACUCUACCUUUGCAGCCUCCAGCCUAUUCCUUAUGAAUCCCCGUGGUAACGAACGUGCCUCGCGCGCAGGCCCUGUCUUAAACCCCGUCGCCGCUCCGCCGCCCGCGGAGGCUAGAUUCCCGUCCGUCACACGGAGGGAAGGGGCGGUGCCUUGCGUCUCUCGCGUUAAGGCGGGGCCAAGCAGGAGCCGAGUGUGGACGUUCGCCGCGGGCGGGGGCUGGGGUAGCUGGGAGACUGGUGUCUCACCUAGCGCGAGGCCCUGUCCCUCACUGUUCCCGUCCUUCUCCCUGUGGUAGCCGAUGCUGAGUGGGCAGCUGGUCGGACGCUUCUUCUCCAUGGCCGGCCGCGUCUGUCUGUCCCGGAGCAGCGCGGGAUCGGAGACCGUCGGUCCCGUUGAGGCCGCCAUUCGCGCGAAGUUGGAGCAGGCCUUGAACCCCGAGGUGCUGGAGCUGCGUAACGAGAGCGGCGGCCACGCGGUCCCACCAGGCAGUGAGACCCAUUUCCGCGUGGCAGUGGUGAGCUCGCGCUUUGAGGGACUGAGUCCCCUCCAAAGGCAUCGGCUGGUCCACGCGGCGCUGUCGGAAGAGCUGGCUGGGCCAGUCCACGCGCUGGCCAUACAAGCGUGGACCCCUGCCCAGUGGAGGGAGAACCCUCAACUGGACACGAGCCCCCCCUGCCUGGGCGGGAGCAAGAAAACUCGAGGAACUCCUUGAAUCCUGAGAGAGAGGGAGAACCAGGAUCCAAAUGGGUUGGGGUGGCUGUACCAUUCUGCCGUCCCAUCAACAAUGUGCAAGGGUUCCAGUUUCUCCACAUUUUGCCAACACUUUUUUUUGAUAAUCGCUAUCCUGACAAGUGUGAGGACAGGAAGAAGCAGGAGACACAGGACAUGACGCUGGAGCCAGCUAGAGCCGGGGAAGGAGGAGGCAGCAUGAGCCUGGCCACGGGGGAAACCAUCCGCAGCCCACCCUGCCCUGUCAGCCAGCGUUGAGAUGAGACUCUCCUCUUGCCAAGAGGGCUUCUGCACUGGACUGGCCUAUAGAGAGGAUUGCUAACCUCGAAAUCACCUUGCAACAGUGCUCAAGUGGAGGAGGAACUAACUAGACCAGGAUGAAAAGAUGACAUCUAGGUAAACAGCUGACCCAAGACACCAGACCAGGCCUGUAUACCAAUUACUUUGACAAUCACUCACACCUUUGCUUAUGAACUAAAUGUAUCUCACAACCUUAUGCAAAGUUAAAGUUAAUCCAAUUGUUAAGUUUAUGGUCAGUUACCUAUGUCUAGUACUUCUGGGUUACCUUGGUGGAUUUCUCUACUCUAAGGCUCUAAUUAGAUGGCCCUUAAAAAAAUUUAGAGGAAAGAAAUUAUAGUUCAGGCCACUUUGACAUUAUUAGGUGGGAUCCCCUCACCUGGUCAAUUAAUAAUACCUGCUCUGAUCCUGACCAUGAAUAUGAAUUUUCUUCUAAAGUUUCUCAAGCUCAAUCAGAGCAACAAGCAAAAUUUCAGCCAAAGAAAAUAGCCUCCCACAAUUUAUAGGAUAAAGUUAUAUGAUUAACAUCAGGCUAUGGUCAUUUAAAGACUUCCUUAUGUUGGGAACAAUUAAGCCAUACUAACAACUAGCCUGAUUAAAAAAUUGGGCCAUUGCCCUAUGGACAAUGCCAAUAUGUAAUUUCCCUUAAAGAUGAAGAUGGGUACAAAACAGGCUAAGUCAGAUGCCCUGGGAAUGUACUGAGCUGCACCUAAUGAAAAUUCUUAACUUCUUCCUUCUGACCUUACUAUACUGCUAAUAUUAUUUGCUUAUUGCCUGUUUUACAAGAUUGCUGUUUCUCACAUUACCAAAUGUGUGACUGAGACUGAGCCUCCAAUAAAACGACGACUGGGCAAUGUGAAGCAGUUAACCAGAUACAUCGUUCUAUAGGAGAUGUGAUUACAAUGAUGUGACUAUGGGUGUGGGAAGAAACAAGAGGGCGUAUUUUCCUGGACCACAACAGACUAGUAAGACAGGUGGUCCAGAGACUUCUUACUACUGUUAAUAAGGCCUGUUUCAGUAAUAGCACAAUGAGUGGCCUAUCAACAAAAUUCUCACCCGGUCUAGGAACGAGCAUUCCCAGCACUGUGGGACAAAAUGGUCAUAAAAUACCUCCCAAGCCAUGGUCAAAUUUAUAACCACGAGGAGACCCUACCAACUAAAAUUGACACUUGCCGUCUGCCUCUACAGGGAUUAAGUCACAAGGCAGUUGCUGACCUUCAACACACCCUGAAAGGAAUUCAGGGUGGAAUUCAGGAAUAAGACACUCAGUGCUCUGAGAAAAUUUGGCAGAACAGGGAUUAAGAUAAUUAGAUGUUUUCAGGAGAAGAUUUUAUGAGCCCAAAUUCUUGCAUCUCCCCAUGUGUAGAAAAACACUAAAAUCAUGUAUAGUGACAUCUGCUUUAGCCAUUAAGGAGAAAAAGUUUAAAAGUCAGACUAGAAUAUAACUGUAGGUUAGACAUCUAAGGCAAAACUAGGUGGCCAUUACGGACAUGACUUCAGACAAGUUUCUGUCUUGCUGAGAACUUAAAUUUUCCGGACUGUAUCAGACUCAAGGACACCUCUAGCCACUCUCAAAGAAUCUGCAACCUUGUGGUUGCAAGUCUCCUUAGAUCUCACCACAAGCCAGGGAGGGACCUAUGUCUGUCUAAGGAAAGAAUGCUGUUUCUGUUACGAUUGAUCAGGCCAGGUACAAAAAGAUCAGAGGUCUAUUAGAACAAGCAGAAAACCCCAAAACACGUGGUAAAGCACUCAGCCGGCAAAUGCUGUGUCUUGCCUUGGUUAAUGCUCUUCCUAGGCCCUGCCAUAAUCGUCCUGUUGGCCCUAAUUUGGGGACUAUUUUUAACUCAAAUACUUUCCCACUUCAUUUCAAAUCAUCUCCAGCAGUUUCAAAAUAAGACUCUGCUACUACACGACUGGAAGCCUAUCCCAGGGUCACACUGUCUAGAUUUAGAUAAGGUAGAAAGAGACUUCAACUCAAUCAGACAUGCCAAUACCCCUUUUCAGCAGGAAGUAACGAUGGACGAUAAGAGACCUCCAUCCAUUUCCCCAAGAAAAUUCAUGAGUAUGAAGUGUCACGGGGGGGAGCUCAGAGAUUUCAUUAGGCAGGCUUACUGACCCUGACUAAUUAAUGACAAAGGAAAGAAAGUGCCAGUCUGUUUAAAAAACAAAAAAACAAAAAAACAAAACAGAUUGUUUCUCUUAUCCCACAGCUGGCUCCUUGGUUCCAAGGACGUAGCCAUACGACAAAGUAUUUAACACUCCACAAAUGCUGCAUCGGUCCCAAGGACAUACCCCAGUAUCUUUCUUUGUUCUCUUUUGCCCCCGCAGGCGCUUCUGUUUUAGAGUUCAGCUGCAUGAGAGGAAAGAGCCAGUAAUAGAAGGUGCCUGGCAGCACCAGAAUGAUAGUAACAUGGCAGAGCCUUCCAACAAAAGGCCCGGAGGCCCGAUGGGUGCUGGAGCUCUGUCAGCCGGCCACCUGGCUGACACUGCCCACUCAAGCUCUUUCUUUUUUGUCUUUUUCCCCUUCUUUCUCUGAGCAAUAAAGCAGCUCUUUUUCACUUUGUCCCUCCUCUGCCUGAGAAUUUUUUCUCAAUCAGCAGGCAAGGACCCCCACAUUUGGGAGGUGGGGGGACUUGCCCACCCAUUUGGUGGGCUUUUCAAUCUGCGGUCUCUAUCCGCUAGCACAUUAGCUUCCCCUGUGGCACAGCACUGGCUGUGAUUUUCCCUUCUGGGCCUAGCUUGGUCACCCAUCUGGCUUCCUCUCUGACGGGGUGUUGGUCGGGGCUCUCCCCUUUUGGAUGCAUGUGGCAUUGGUUGGGAAUCUCCCUUUGGGGGCUGGGGAACUGUGACCCUGAGAGAACAUUUUGAGCUGUUUUUUGCUUGAUAAUUAUUCACAGCAGAUGUUAUCAAAUUAAGUAUGGAUGAUCAGAGCUCUUCCAUCUUAUAGUCCCUUGGGGUAUUUUUGCAAAACUGGGAGUUCUUUAGAGAUGCUCCCAUAAAUGAAAGAAAAUGCUGUUUUUAUUGUAACAUCAUGUGGCCUCAAUACUUCCUGAGAUCUGAGAGCAAUGGCCCCUAGUGACUCAGCUGUUACAUCAAAGUGUGCUUUUGCGAUUGCUUUGGAUUUUACCUUAGUUGUCUAUGUGAGUGUCCCAGUAUCCGAGUCCAAAUCCUGUUCUCUCUUCCUGGUUUUGCUGAAAGUGAGGCAUGUGUAUAUAAGUGAACGAUGUGUCUGUUGCCUAUUACUGUUAUUUCUUUGAACUGAAGUGGGUAUUUGGGAACUGAAAAAGAAGUCCCUGAAAAUGGCCAAGAUGUUUGGGUUUUGUAAAAGCAGUUAAAGAAGAAAUUUGCAUUUCUCUUCCUGUGCCUUUGAGGUGUAGAUUAUCUACCUGGGCUCUCAAGGGGAAAAGAAAAAAAAUUUUUUUUAACGUAGGUGGAAAAACUGAGAUCUCUGGUUCUGUUUUUACGUAAAAAUUAACUUGUAAAUGAGCUCUGUUAAUUGACUUAGGAGUGUUUAAUUUGUAAAUGCUUACUUUUAAGUAUAAAAGAAGCUACAGAACAAAUUUCAGAUUCAUGUGAUCUAGGAUAUUAAACUUAGUUUAAGCUUGUUGGUAGAGUCCACAUAGACAUGUCUUCUAUUGUACCCAGGUUUCAUGAAGGCCAGUAAGUUUGUUUCUGUUGCAGUUUGUCAGCAGAAAGAAAAAAAUUAACUUGGUAUGAUGAAAUUCUUGUAAGCAAAUUAAAUGCAAAUUAGAUAAGAGCUUUUGGGUGAGUUCUUUAGAAAUAAUUAUUUUAGGAAUGUCUACUUAAAAAUGAUCUCUUCUAAUAUUUGGUAACUUGAAAUUUUAGAGUUGUGCUAAAUUAAGUUAAAUGAUGGAAGUUUGGCUAGGUCAUUUCCAAACAAAAUAAGAUACUGAAGCAUUAAUUACUGAAUGUUGGCUUCCCUUUACAGAGAAACUAAAGGUAUUUAGGAUUAUUGAUGAAUAUGUUUAGUAUCACCCUGAAAUAUUUUCUAUAAAAAGCACAUGUGUUUGGAAAAUUAUUGGUAUUUGCCUGCCAUCAUACAGAAUACUAAUGUAAAGGACAGCUCAUAAUUGCUUACUUGGCUUUUCACUCGAAAUUGAGAUUUUUAAUAGGUUGAGGAUUCUAAUUAAAACAUGGCAUUAAAGCUACUAAAAAUAAUAAACAUUUCAGUGUAUACAAUAGGAAAGUAAUGUUGUGGGAGAAUAGGGUCUUGGCUCCUGCAGGAAAGAAUUCAAGAGCAAGGCAUGUAAAGUGAAAGCAAGUUUAUUUAGAGAGAGAGACCCCACUCCAUGAAGUGUGACCCUCACUCAGAAGGGAAAACAGCUUAGGAGAUAGACUCCAUAGGCAGAACGUGGGCCAUCUCAGAAAGGUGAGAGGGAGAGCCUGAGAGGGGUGGGGCGUUUAGUUUAAAGUAAAAGUAGAUACACACUCCGUUGACAGAGUGCGGGCUGUCUCAGAAGGCAAGAGAGUGAACGCCCACGAGGUGCGGAGUUGUUAGGUUUUACGGGCUCCGUAACUUCACAGGCUAGUGAGUAGGAGGAUUAUUCCAACUACUUUGAGGCAGGGGCGAGGGUUUUCCAGAAACGCCCCCCUCUGCCCACUUUUUGACCUUUUAAGGCCAGCCUAGGAACUGUGGGUGCGCCAUGAGGCUCAAGGUCUACUGGAAGUCGAAUCUUCCGCCAUCUUGGUUCUAACCAGUUUGUUCUGUCCUCAGUUGCUGUAUCAUUCCUUCAAUGGUUGUGCCCUGCCCUCUUUCCUCCCACUUCAGUAGGACCUGUUUUGAGUUAAGAAAGGUAUGAGGUAUGGAAUUGCAUUUUGUUAAGGGAAAAUAAAAUGAUCUGGACCUAGAGCUGAUUGUUUCUAGAUGAGAAAAAAAUAAGGGACAAACUAAUAUGGAAACAGAAAGUUGUGGAAAGUUUGUAGAAAGGGAAUCCUAAAAAAGGAGUUCUGUGCAUUGGUGGGGCUGAGAUUAGAUUACACUUAAUAGGUAAGUGGAUUUUAUUAAAAUAGGCUGGUGUAGAACUAGAUUUGCUUCCUCUCUGUUAAGAGAACUUUACCUUUUUGAUAUUUUUAACAAAUUUCCUAUCGAACUUAAUAUUUUUCUUUCUUUUUUUUAAUGGAGGCAUGGGUUUUGAAUCUAGGGCUUCAUGCAUGGUAAGCAUACACUCUAUCACUGAGCUAUUUCCCUCCCCCUUCAAAUUCUAAUUAACAUUCUUUUGACAUCAACUAACACUAGGAUGCUUCCAAGGGCCCCUGAAGCAUCUCAGAGAAAAAUGAUUUACUAGGAUUGGUUGGUGUGUUGGUUGGAGUUUCGGAUUACACACGAGGCAUUGUCAAAUGGUGGUAAGCCUCCUCAGAUUAUGCAGUGUGGAUAAAUGUUAUUAAUAUAGAUAUUCUAGAAAUUACAUAAAGUUUCUGAAACUUGGAUAUGUCCUGGUAUAAUGCUAUCAGUCAUAAUUCUGGUUGUUAUCUUGCAAUGCUGUCACAGCCACUUGAUUAAUCCUGUCAAAAACAUAAUCAGAUCUUUUACUUUGCCCUUUUAAAUCUUUUGUCAUUCAUAGACAGUCACGCUGAUGCUUUGCAAAACUGCUUCAUCUUCAAGAAAAUUCAUAAAGGGGAGGUAUAGUUUUCUUUUAAAUCAUAUUGCCGAGCUGGGUAAGAUAUUUUUAACUCUGAUUUCAUAAAACUGCUAGUAAAAAGCAUUAAUUACAUAGGACUGAGUGAAUUACAUAUAUAUGAGUGAACAUAUAUAUGUUAAUACCACAUCAAAAGUUAAAACCUACAUGUAUUUACAUGCAAUAUGUGUAUGUGCAGUCAAACUGUAAUAAUUCCACCUAAUGACACUGAAAAAGGAGGCGAAAAAAGUUAAAACCUACCCAGAUAAAAGCAGACAACUGGCCACCUGGCUGCAAGUCUCCUCCAGAGUGCCACGUGCAGACUGGCUUUCAGGCUUGUUCUCCUGAAUUCCUCAAGGGAAUGAGAUCUUAAUCACACAAGACUCAGAUCCAGGACCUGGAACUCAGGGAUUUUCAAUUCAGUGUCCAUUCCCCAGAUCGAGGUUGGACUAGACCAUGUCUCAGCAGGAAGUAGCCAGAGCAGUCGUCACCCCAUUCCCUGAGACUCGGGGUGUGGGGUGAAACAGGACUGGAGACUGAAACCGAGUUCUUCUGCUGAGUUUGUGAUGAACCUCUCUAUCCAAACUAUCACUCCUCUUCUUGUCCAACACCUGUUCUCAAGAUUGAGGAGUAUCAAAGAAAAGGGGGAACUGUAACUGAGCAGGACCCCUAGGAGCUCUCCCCGGGACAGGCCACCCCCCCGCCAAUAUCCUCUGAUUUAGCUCCUCUCUGAAGUACCUAGAUAAUUGUACCUGAUGCAUCUUUACUGAGUUUUUCAGAUGCUAAAACCACCAGCAAAUGGAAGAAAUGAACUACUUGAUCAUGAGCAUGUGGCCCCCAGACCUUCUGGCAUCUAAGGAUGGCUCACCCUCAACCAGAGAAUUGUGCACAGCUGUUCACAUACCCUGGGACCCCCCCCCCCCCGCCUCAGCUAGCCUUUAAAAAUGCUCAGCUGAAACCCUUCAGGGAGUUCACGGUUUUCUGGGACAUGAGCCAAUCAUUCUCCUUGCUCAGCUCAGCA